GACGAACGCUGGCGGCGUGCUUAACACAUGCAAGUCGAACGGAAAGGCCUUUUCGGAGGUACUCGAGUGGCGAACGGGUGUGUAACACGUGGGUGAUCUGCCCCGCACUCUGGGAUAAGCCUGGGAAACUGGGUCUAAUACCGGAUAGGACCGCACUUUAGAGUGUGUGGGGGAAAGUUUUUUGGGUGUAGGAUGAGCCCGCGGCCUAUCAGCUUGAUGGUGGGGUAAUGGCCUACCAAGGCGGCGACGGGUAGCCGGACUGAGAGGUUGGUCGGCGACAUUGAGACUGAGGUACGGCACAGGCUCCGACGGGUGGCAGCAGGGGGAAAUCUUGCUCAAUGGGCGCAGGCCUGAUGCUGCGACGCCGCGUGGGGGAUGACGGCCUUCUAGUUAUAAACUCCGUUCUCCAGGAACGAAGCGUUUUAUGACGGUACCUGGAGAAGAAGCACCGGCUAACUACGUG
rnacentral:rRNA from 1 species